rnacentral:sRNA from 1 species
GUUUUUCUAUCCAGUUUUCAUCCAACAGCCACAAUACAAGCAAGCGCUUUCGUUGCAACACAUCCGCUCAUAGGAGAUGCAAAAUUUCUUUAUCCUUUCGGCUUUCUUUCCGUAUUUUGCUAUCUUUUCUUCACCAUACUCCACACCCAUACGCAUUUGCCUAGCCGCUCUCACCUCCCCACGAGAGCGUGCUUACUAGCCGUAAUGGAAUAUCAACGCUUUAGGUCUAGACAACCUGUGUUCACUUUCCGUUUCCUUCUAUUUCGAAAGUCUUGGAAGGAGGCAUCAGGAAGGUGAGCCGGCGCUUCGCCGUUCCACCCUUGAUAAACCAGACUAUGUGGAGUAUCGAGGACUAAACUGCGCUGACACAUCUCCCUUAUAUUCUCAAGUUUCUUUACGUAUAGAUUUCAGUCAGUAUAAUGUGCAUGAUGAAUGUGAUCUAUCGUUUACC